rnacentral:rRNA from 1 species
GCACGGGCACUUUCGGGUGUCAGUGGCGGACGGGUGAGGAACGCGUACGUAUCUAUCCUUGAGUCGGGGGAUAACUGACGGAAACUUCAGCUAAUACCGCAUGGUACCGUAAGGUUAAAGGCGUAAGCCGCUAAAGGAGGAGCCUGCGUGCGAUUCGCUACUUGGUGGGGUAACGGCUUAUUUUUGCGACGAUCGAUAGCUGGUCUGAGAGGAUGAUCAGCCACACUGGGAGUGAGACACGGCCCAUACUCCUACGGGAUGCAGCAGUCGGGAAUAUCGGACUAUGGGGCGCAAUCCUGAUCCAUCAAUGCCGGGUGUGUGAAGAAGGUGUUACGAUUGUAAACCAUUUUCGACGUGGACCACGAUGACGGUACCCGUAUAAUAAGCCCCGGGCUUACUCCCGCCCG